AGUUUAGCCUGUUAGCAUGCUAAAAGUUUCAAACUGAAUAAGCUGUUUCUACCUGCAGGAUUUUGCAGACUGUUUUAAGGAGGCUUGGGAAGGUACUUCUGUACAGCUGAACUGCGGCGUGGAUCUCAGUGCUGAUUGGUUAAAGCCAGAGAGGGCAAAUGCUGAUUGGUUGCCAUAAAGUCAAACAUUGCGAACCCUUCAUUGUUCUAUUCGUGCGUUCUGUUCAUGCCACCGAGGUCCUACAGUGAAAAGCCACUCAAUGUACAGGACAAAGUAAAAAUCUGGCCUGAUGAUGUUGAAUGUCCAUGUCUGAGCAAAAUUUCAUGGCAGUCUUAGUUGUUGAGAUUUUUAUCUAAAAAAAACAAAACACUGACAACCUGACGUGACGGUCAGUGGAUCAUUCUCUGAGUAUCAUUAUUGGAAAGAAACCACCUCAUGUUAAAGCAUCUAAAUGCUGUUUAGAUAUUUCAGUGUGAACCAACAUGAUAAACUGACCAACUGACUGAGAAAGCAACGAUAUUCCCAGAGUCCUGCUGCUAUUGUGGCCAGAAAUAAUGUUUUUCUCUGACAGUCUUUCUGCAGCCGACCAUCUCUGCCAUCACUGUGGAAUCAAUACAUCCUUCUGGCAAACAUGUUGAAGUCUUUCUACAGCCAACCACCUCUGCCAUCACUGUGGAAACUGUGGAAACAAAUUCAACACAUCCAUCUGCCAAACAUGUUAAAGACGCGGUACUCUUUGUGGUUUUCACAAUGUUUGCUGUGACGCUCAUAGUGAUAUUUGCCCUGGUUAUUGCCUAUAAAUACAAAUGUCACAAAGUGCGAGGUGCUGAGGUCACCACCUACAGAAACAAACCCAGUUCUUCAGAGGAAGCAACAGUUGGUGUAGAUAUUUAUGAAAAUCAAGAAGUUGUUCAGAACUCAAAGCCAAUGAAAUCCAGACAGCAGAGUGCCUGUCUGCAGUAUGACGACGUAGGUGAAGACCAACCAGACUAUGAAAACAUCACAGAAGACAUCUACUGUAACCAAAGUUUCCAUCGAGCCUAUAACAGAUGAACUGUUUGUACUGUUUUUAGCAUGAACAACAGCACAACACAGAUUCAUGUACCACUGCAAUCUGACAAUUACAUCCUCUAACUGAAGACUUUGUUGGUCUUUGUGACCCAGAUUUGUUUUAUUAUUAACUGAAGAUAUAAUUGAAUAUGUACAUAUUCAUGGUUUUAACUCUUUAAACUUUUGCCUUUGCAUUAAUCUUCUUCAGUCUGUACUCCUUGUAUCCAAUUGUGGAUAUUAUGUAAAAUUUCAACCAUACAACUUAAAUGUUAAUUACCUAUUUGUAUAUAAUAAAAGUAAAUAAGUAAA
ensembl:lncRNA